UAAAUUUUAAAAUUAUAAUACUAAAAUAGUAAAUAAUUAUUUAUUAAAACUUAAAUAAUUUGGCGGUAUUUUAGUUCAUUUAGAGGAAUCUGUUUAAUAAUUGAUAUUCCACGAAUAAAUUUACUUAAUUUUUAAUUUUGUAUAUCGUUGUUAUAAAAAUAUUUUUUAAUAAAAUUAAUAUUUAAAAAUUAUUAUAAAAAUUUAAAUCAGAUCAAGAUGCAGAUUAUAGUUAAGAAUAUAAUGGAUUACAAUAAAAUUAUUUAAAUGGAUGUUAAUUUGUAAGAUUUAAUUGAAAGUGGAUUUAAAUGUAAUUUUAUUUAAUUUAAUAAAAUGAUUAAAAAUUAAAAUAUGU
rnacentral:rRNA from 1 species